AUUGAACGCUGGCGGCAGGCCUAACACAUGCAAGUCGAGCGGAUGAAGGGAGCUUGCUCCUGGAUUCAGCGGCGGACGGGUGAGUAAUGCCUAGGAAUCUGCCUGGUAGUGGGGGAUAACGUCCGGAAACGGGCGCUAAUACCGCAUACGUCCUGAGGGAGAAAGUGGGGGAUCUUCGGACCUCACGCUAUCAGAUGAGCCUAGGUCGGAUUAGCUAGUUGGUGGGGUAAAGGCCUACCAAGGCGACGAUCCGUAACUGGUCUGAGAGGAUGAUCAGUCACACUGGAACUGAGACGCGGUCCAGACUCCUACGGGAGGCAGCAGUGGGGAAUAUUGGACAAUGGGCGAAAGCCUGAUCCAGCCAUGCCGCGUGUGUGAAGAAGGUCUUCGGAUUGUAAAGCACUUUAAGUUGGGAGGAAGGGCAGUAAGUUAAUACCUCGCUGUUUUGACGUUACCAACAGAAUAAGCACCGGCUAACUUCGUG
rnacentral:rRNA from 1 species